rnacentral:rRNA from 1 species
GAUGAACGCUGGCGGUAUGCUUAACACAUGCAAGUCGAACGGACUCUUCGGAGUUAGUGGCGGACGGGUGAGUAACGCGUGAGAAUCUGGCUUUGGGUUCGGGACAACCACUGGAAACGGUGGCUAAUACCGGAUGUGCCGAGAGGUAAAAGAGAAAUUGCCUGAAGAUGAGCUCGCGUCUGAUUAGCUAGUUGGUGAGGUAAAGGCUCAUCAAGGCAGCGAUCAGUAGCUGGUCUGAGAGGAUGACCAGCCACACUGGGACUGAGACACGGCCCAGACUCCUACGGGAGGCGGCAGUGGGGAAUUUUCCGCAAUGGGCGAAAGCCUGACGGAGCAAUACCGCGUGAGGGAAGAAGGCUCUUGGGUUGUAAACCUCUUUUCUUAGGGAAGAACAAAAUGACGGUACCUAAGGAAUCAGCAUCGGCUAACUCCGUG